UGUGGCUGCCCGCAUGCCUGGCUCUCUUCCCCGGGGCCCCUUGGAGGGGUGGGCUUCAGUUUCCU
rnacentral:miRNA from 1 species